rnacentral:rRNA from 1 species
ACUCAAAGGAAUUGACGGGGGCUCGCACAAGCGGUGGAGCAUGUGGUUCAAUUCGAAGCAACGCGAAGAACCUUACCCGGGCUUGACAUGUACGUAGUAGGAACCUGAAAGGGGGACGACCCGUAGAGUCGGGAGCGUACACAGGUGUUGCAUGGCUGUCGUCAGCUCGUGUCGUGAGAUGUCGGGUUAAGUCCCAUAACGAGCGAAACCCUUGUCCUUAGUUGCCAACGGGUCAUGCCGGGGACUCUAAGGAGACUGCCCGUGUUAAACGGGAGGAAGGCGGGGAUGACGUCAAGUCAUCAUGGCCCUUAUGUCCGGGGCGACACACGUGCCACAAUGGAGGGUACAAAGGGUUGCCAACCCGCAAGGGGGAGCCAAUCCCAAAAAGCCCUUCUCAGUUCGGAUUGCAGGCUGCAAUUCGCCUGCAUGAAGCUGGAAUCGCUAGUAAUCGCGGAUCAGCUACGCCGCGGUGAAUAUGUUCCCGAGCCUUGUACACACCGCCCGU